rnacentral:tRNA from 1 species
GCAGCGGUGGCUCAGUGGUAGAAUUCUCAUCUUCCAUGUGGGAGAUCUGGGUUUGAUUCCCAGCCAAUGCA